UUACACUUUUUGUGUAUUUAUAGCUUUAGGCCUGGGAGCCGUGCCAGUUUACACUUGUCAGAGGGGUACACGGAGUAUGCUACCCAGACUACCAGUUUUCAGACUUUCGUUGAAGCCCGCGGUGGCUGCAAGGUCUACUCCCAUUUGUGAGAACUCCAGUUGUGAGACUCCCGGUUGUGAGACAGUGGAGAAGGUUGGUCCACGAUAUUCAGCUUAGCCAGAGAACCACAAGUCUUUUAGUAAGAUAAGUGAUACCUUUAUCACAGAACGUUAACUACUAGCCAACGUGUAACACUACAAUGACAGUGACGGCGAUGCUACAGAUGUUUCAGUAUUUAAGUGGAUCAAUGGGGAUACUGUAUGCAGUUACUCGUUUAUAGUGUUCGCCAACAUACACAUGACCUGCGUUCUUGGCCAGCGAGCAAAACAAGCAAAAGUACGACAACACACCACUACGCCAUAUAAACAGAACGUGGCCUUUAAUCUCUGCGGGACACCCUUUUGAUUGCGAAGCCUAUUUACUGUACAUAUAGUCUUCCUGGGGUCGAACCAAGCGGAGACUCCUGUAGUCAGGUCGGGUAUUUCAAGAUGACUUCCAGUGUAUCCAACACUAUAUCGCGGAUGAAUACAGUUUGUACAUAUAUUCCACAUACACCAUUUUACUUAAUGGUGUAAACUCUACUGUUCAGGAACUGGGUUCUGAACACAGCAGAUACCCUGGUUCCCACACCAAACCGAACAAUAUAUUCUUGGCCUCUUUUAUUUAUUUCAUAAUAAAGUCAAGUUGAAACACAA